AAUGAACGCUGGCGGCAGGCCUAACACCUGCAAGUCGAACGAGGCAGCAAUGCCUAGUGGCGGACGGGUGAGUAACCCGUGGGAACGUGCCCCUUGGUACGGAAUAGCCCUGGGAAACUGGGAGUAAUACCGUAUGAGCUCGAAAGAGGAAAGAUUUAUCGCCAAAGGGUCGGCCCGCGUUGGAUUAGGUAGUUGGUGGGGUAAUGGCCCACCAAGCCGACGAUCCAUAGCCGGGUUGAGAGGAUGAUCAGCCACACUGGGACUGAGACACGGCGCAGGCUCCUACGGGAGGCAGGCAUGGGGAAGUGUAGACAACGGUGGGAACCCUGAACUAGGCCUGCCGGGUGAUCGAUGAAGGCCUUAGGGUUGUAAAGAUCUUUCAGAUGGGAAGAUAAUGACGGUACCAUCAGAAGAAGCCCCGGCUAACUCCGUGCCAGCAGCCGCAGUAAGAC
rnacentral:rRNA from 1 species